UAGGGAAUCUUCGGCAAUGGACGGAAGUCUGACCGAGCAACGCCGCGUGAGUGAAGAAGGUUUUCGGAUCGUAAAGCUCUGUUGUUAGAGAAGAACGUUGGUAGGAGUGGAAAAUCUACCAAGUGACGGUAACUAACCAGAAAGGGACGGCUAACUACGUGCCAGCAGCCGCGGUAAUACGUAGGUCCCGAGCGUUGUCCGGAUUUAUUGGGCGUAAAGCAAGCGCAGGCGGUUCUUUAAGUCUGAAGUUAAAGGCAGUGGCUUAACCAUUGUACGCUUUGGAAACUGGAGGAAUUGAGUGCAGAAGGGGAGAGUGGAAUUCCAUGGGUAGCGGUGAAAUGCGUAGAUAUAUGGAGGAACACCGGUGGCGAAAGCGGCUCUCUGGUCUGUAACAGACGCUGAGGCUCGAAAGCGUGGGGAGCAAACAGG
rnacentral:rRNA from 1 species